rnacentral:rRNA from 1 species
AUUGAACGCUGGCGGCAGGCUUAACACAUGCAAGUCGAGCGAGCGGCGGACGGGUGAGUAAUGUCUGGGCAACUGCCUGAUGGAGGGGGCUAAAUACUGGAAACGGUAGCUAAUACCGCAUACCAUCAGAUGUGCCCAGAUGGGAUUAGCUAGUAGGUGGGGUAAUGGCUCACCUAGGCGACGAUCCCUAGCUGGUCUGAGAGGCUGACCGGCCACACUGGAACUUAGACACGGGCCAGACGCCUACGGGAGGCAGCAGUGGGGAAUAUUGCACAAUGGGCGCAAGCCUGAUGCAGCCAUGCCGCGUGUGUGAAGAAGGCCUUCGGGUUGUAAAGCACUUUCAGCGAGGAGGCGUUACUCGCAGAAGAAGCACCGGCUAACUCCGUGCCAGCAGCCGCGGUAAUUC